rfam:Hordeum vulgare subsp. vulgare, WGS project CAJW01000000 data, contig: morex_contig_2548404
CAACUACUCCCUCUUUCCAGAAUUACUUGUUAAACAAAUGAAUAAAAAUGAAUGUAUCUAGAACUAAAAUACAUCUAUAUACAUUAAUUCUUAUGACAAGUAUUUCCAGACGGAGGGAGUAUGUU